CGUCUACUCUUGGACAGCCUUCUGAAAGGAAGAUUAAUACAAGAUGGCAUCAUGAGUCCACAUGUUCACAUGAUUAAAGGUAUUCCGGUAGACGAUGGGGAUGCGUUCCAUUAGAUAGUAGGCGGGGUAACGGCCCACCUAGUCUUCGAUGGAUAGGGGUUCUGAGAGGAAGGUCCCCCACAUUGGAACUGAGACACGGUCCAAACUCCUACGGGAGGCAGCAGUGAGGAAUAUUGGUCAAUGGGCGAGAGCCUGAACCAGCCAAGUAGCGUGAAGGAUGACUGCCCUAUGGGUUGUAAACUUCUUUUAUAAAGGAAUAAAGUCGGGUAUGCAUACCCGUUUGCAUGUACUUUAUGAAUAAGGAUCGGCUAACUCCGUGCCAGCAGCCGCGGUAAUACGGAGGAUCCGAGCGUUAUCCGGAUUUAUUGGGUUUAAAGGGAGCGUAGAUGGAUGUUUAAGUCAGUUGUGAAAGUUUGCGGCUCAACCGUAAAAUUGCAGUUGAUACUGGAUAUCUUGAGUGCAGUUGAGGCAGGCGGAAUUCGUGGUGUAGCGGUGAAAUGCUUAGAUAUCACGAAGAACUCCGAUUGCGAAGGCAGCCUGCUAAGCUGCAACUGACAUUGAGGCUCGAAAGUGUGGGUAUCAAACAGGAUUAGAUACCCUGGUAGUCCACACGGUAAACGAUGAAUACUCGCUGUUUGCGAUAUACAGCAAGCGGCCAAGCGAAAGCGUUAAGUAUUCCACCUGGGGAG
rnacentral:rRNA from 1 species